rnacentral:rRNA from 1 species
GACGAACGCUGGCGGCGUGCCUAAUACAUGCAAGUCGAACGCUGAAGGAGGAGCUUGCUUCUCUGGAUGAGUUGCGAACGGGUGAGUAACGCGUAGGUAACCUGCCUGGUAGCGGGGGAUAACUAUUGGAAACGAUAGCUAAUACCGCAUAAGAUUGACUAUUGCAUGAUAGUCAGUUAAAAGGUGCAAUUGCAUCACUACCAGAAGGACCUGCGUUGUAUUAGCUAGUUGGUGGGGUAACGGCUCACCAAGGCGACGAUACAUAGCCGACCUGAGAGGGGGGUCGGCCACACUGGGACUGGGACACGGCCCAGACUCCUACGGGAGGCAGCAGUAGGGAAUCUUCGGCAAUGGACGGAAGUCUGACCGGGCAACGCCGCGUGAGUGAAGAAGGUUUUCGGAUCGUAAAGCUCUGUUGUAAGAGAAGAACGAGUGUGAGAGUGGAAAGUUCACACUGUGACGGUAUCUUACCAGAAAGGGACGGCUAACUACGUG